rnacentral:rRNA from 1 species
UACGAAGGGUGCAAGCGUUGCUCGGAAUUAUUGGGCGUAAAGGGUAGGUAGGUGGUUACGUAUGUCUGAGGUGAAAGCCCCGAGCUUAACUUGGGAAGUGCCUUGGAAACGGCGUAACUAGAGUAUUGGAGAGGUUUGUAGAAUUCCCGGUGUAGCGGUGAAAUGCGUAGAGAUCGGGAGGAAUAUCAGUGGCGAAGGCGACAAACUGGACAAUUACUGACACUAAACUACGAAAGCGUGGGGAGCAAACAGG